rnacentral:misc_RNA from 1 species
AGCAGCCGCGGUAAUUCCAGCUCCAAUAGCGUAUAUUAAAGUUGUUGCAGUUAAAAGCUCGUAGUUGAAUUUCGGGAUCAGUGGGUCGGUCGUGCCACUGGUAUGCACUGGCCCUACUGGUUCCUCCUUCUUGAAGAACUUGUAAUGCCAUUAAUUUGGUGUUGCAGGGAAACAGGACUGUUACUUUGAAAAAUUGAGUGUUUAAAGCAGGCAAUCGCUUGAAUACAUUAGCAUGGAGUAAUGAAAUAGGACGAUCGAUCCUAUUUUGUUGGUUUCUAGGAUUGACGUAAUGAUUAAUAGGGAUAGUUGGGGGCAUUAGUAUUCAAUUGUCAGAGGUGAAAUUCUUGGAUUUAUUGAAGACUAACUACUGCGAAAGCAUUUGCC